AUCCAGGUGUCCCUGGUCUUUCUGUUUAAGAUGGAAAUCUGGUUAAGAUAAAUGUGGGAGCUGCCAACCACCAUCUACCUAAAGAAAAGAAAAGGAAAGAGAAGAAAAAUGUGUUCCUGGUCCUAAAGGGGGAUGGAGAGAGAGAAUACAAGCAGGCAG